CUUGCAGAACGAGGUGAAGGAGGUGGUUCUGCUCAGCAGUCAACAGUGGCCACAUCUCCACCUGCAGCGACUUGAUGGCUUCCGUGUCCUUUUCGUGGG
ensembl:miRNA